rnacentral:rRNA from 1 species
AUUGAACACUGGCGGCAUGCCUUACACAUGCAAGUCGAACGGCAGCACGGGUGCUUGCACCUGGUGGCGAGUGGCGAACGGGUGAGUAAUACAUCGGAACGUACCUUAUCGUGGGGGAUAACGCAGCGAAAGCUGUGCUAAUACCGCAUACGCCCUGAGGGGGAAAGCGGGGGAUCGCAAGACCUCGCGCGAUUAGAGCGGCCGAUGCCUGGUUAGCUAGUUGGUGGGGUAAAAGCCCACCAAGGCGACGAUCAGUAGCUGGUCUGAGAGGACGAUCAGCCACACUGGGACUGAGACACGGCCCAGACUCCUACGGGAGGCAGCAGUGGGGAAUUUUGGACAAUGGGGGCAACCCUGAUCCAGCAAUGCCGCGUGAGUGAAGAAGGCCUUCGGGUUGUAAAGCUCUUUUGUCAGGGAAGAAACACCGGCUCUAACACAGUCCGGGAAUGACGGUACCUGAAGAAUAAGCACCGGCUAACUACGUGCCAGCCGCCGCCGUAA